UGUCGCUGUUGCACUGUGGUGGUAGGGGGAACAGGAAGUUCCGGUAGACGCACACCAUUCUUUAGAAUAAACAAAACGCCUGAGCUGUGCUCUCAUUUUCUCUUUAUCGCUACAGAUUAAGUCUGAGGCCGGAAACAAUAAACAGUGAGGACAAACCCACGCUGCCCUUUCCUUCCACACUGAAUCCAAACCUACAGUCACUGGGUCCUGAUUGUGUCAGUAGAGCCCAGUUUUUACAGCAGCGAUCCAGAGAUGGCAACGUGAAGCUGGAAGACUGCA
rnacentral:lncRNA from 1 species